rnacentral:rRNA from 1 species
UACAGAGGGGGCAAGCGUUGUUCGGAAUUACUGGGCGUAAAGGGCGCGUAGGCGGCCUGCUAAGUCGAACGUGAAAUCCCCGGGCUCAACCCGGGAACUGCGUCCGAGACUGGCGGGCUCGAAUUCGGGAGAGGGAUGCGGAAUUCCAGGUGUAGCGGUGAAAAUGCGUAGAUAUCUGGAGGAACACCGGUGGCGAAGGCAGAUCUCUGGGCCGUAACUGACGCUGAGGAGCGAAAGCAUGGGGAGCGAACAGG